rnacentral:lncRNA from 1 species
CAAGGCAUUCUCGAAAUUUUCCUUGGCAAGAUUGGCAAUGAUAUCACGACUAAUAGUAUGCCGUGUUUGCCCCACUUCCAUAGGAUAUCCAGUUACCUGCUGCUGGAAAUCUGUAUGAGAACUCCUAUAGAUAUAGGACAUCCUCCCUAUCUUCUGCACCUUGGUCUUUAGCUCCUCCUUGAGCUCAAAGACCUCAUGCUUUAAAUCCUGGACUUUGUCCUUAGCCAAAAUCCUCUCGUCAUGUUCCUACUCCCACAUGGACUCGACAUCAGUCUUGUCCUCUAUAACCAUUUGGAGCUCUGCCUUCAGCUCCUUGACCUCCUGGAAAUAAUGGAUAUUUCUAUCCAACACUGACAUAAAUAAAGACAUCAUCGACCCCCCAAGAGCUAUCUCCGCUGCUAUAGCCACCGGGUUAAAGGAGACUGUCUCUACUUCCUCCUCUAUCAUCCCAUCGAACACUGACAUGUAGUCAACAUUAUCUAAGUCUCUAGACUCAAUAACCACAACUUCAGACUCUGCCGCUAUAGGGUUCGGUAUAACCUCUACUUGGUUCACCGAUUCUUCACUAAUGGCCUGGCCAUCUACAAACAUUCUGUUUACUCCUCACAUCUACACUAAACAAUUAAGUUGAUUAGUACACAUCAAUAGAAUAAUAAAAACACAUAACAUAAUCAUAAUGCCUUUUUUUAUAAGGUUACUUUCUUCUUUUUACUUCUUUGACCUCUCUUAAGGUUAUGACUUAAGGUUUUUAAUCCCCACUUAAGUUUUAUAACCUAAUGCUUUGAUACCAAUCUGUGACACCCCAAAAAUCCAGGUAUCUUCCAACCUGACAGAUGGUGCAACACGGUACUACCAUUCAUUCAUUCAUUCAUUCCAUGAAAUAGUCUCAAAAGGACUAAUAUAACUUCUAUAUAUUCAAAAUAAUAUUACAUUUCCCAGGUUCUGUGUAACCCAUUCGUUUGUUCUUGUCAUAAUAUUCAAUAUAUUACAAUCAUUGAACUAUUCUAUUACAUACUAAGCUAAGGGUUCGUCUUCGCCUUGCCCUUAUCUUUGCCCGAGCCUUCAGUUCGCUCGAUCUUGGCUGUGUUCAUAUGGUUCAAGCAAGAGUGAGGAUGACUAGCUCAGCAUGUACUACAAUUCUAUUAAACAACAUGCUUGAAACAUAGAACUUAUAUAUCUUCAGUAACUGAACAAUAGUUACGAAGUACUAUCGAUAAAUCAAAAUAGCACUUCUUUCCCUUCAAAACAUUUUACAACAACCAUACUCAGCGGAAUAUCAAUUAUGGCUCAAGACUACGAGCAUUCAUAAAUUCUUUUGAAAAGGACAACCCAACACUAAGUCCGUAAGUCCGGCAUAUCUUACGAGCACGUCUGAGUGAUCAUCUCGUAGUACUCUAUGUUGAUCAACACUACAUUCAUUAAACGUGUAUACAUUUAAGUUGUGGCAACCUCACGUGCCUAUCAUUAAAUGGCAAAAACAUUUUAGCAUACUUGGUCUUCGAUUGAAAACCAUACCAAUAUAACUCGGUAAAUAUAAAUCAUGCUUGACAGAAUCAUAAUAUAAGUCUAGCCAAAAGAAUUGGCUUAAGACUUCAUCGUUCAAAACAUCAUGUGAAAGAAUACAUGAAUUACAAAACUUGUCCAGACUGAACUAGAAUAAGGGUUAGAAUACUUGCCUUCAGCGUCUACUUACUGAUUAACACCCGUACACUUUAGGUCUCUAAGUUUCUACAACAUAUGAUCAUAUAACGUACCACAUUAGGUCAUAUAUAAUCAAGUAUGUAUACUAUUAUAUCUUACCCUUCAUCUCAAUGUAAAUCCUGACUUAGAUCUACUAUUAUGGGUUUCCGGCUUUUAUUACGUCAUUUAUGUUUCAUUCAUCUUUGAUUGAUUAUUAACUCUUAAUCAACAUACAUUUCAUGUCUAACAAUGCCUUAACAAUGUUAUAUUAACACCUUAGUUCAUUACCAACGAGUUCUCUUUCAUUCUAUAAUUG